rnacentral:lncRNA from 1 species
UCUGGAACUCCUUUAGGACAGCAGCGUCUCUAUAGAAUAUGACGAGAACGCCACAAAUUCGAAGAAAAAGCGUGCCAUCGUUCUUUGUUGGACCGUCUUUAGCCAGUCUAUCGAAUAGCGAAGCUUCUUCGACUAGAUUACCCACAAUUCUGAUGGAAGAAAGUCAAAGUUCUAAUACUCCUGUAGCCUGUAGGAGACAGCAUCGUCUCUAUUGAAUAUGACCAGAAUGACCCAGGAUUGAAGAAAAAGCGUAGAGUACUGACUUUGAUUGUUGGACCAUCUCUAGCCUGUCUUAUUUUUUUUUUUUUAAUUAUCAUCCUGUUGAAGUAAUAUUGUAUGAUAGAAUAGAAGUCACUGUAUGUUAUCACCGAACGCUAUCAAUCUCCAGUAAAAGAAGUGCUGAUAGGUAGUUACUUAAAUUGAAUUUUAACAAGAUUCGGUGUGACGUGGGGUGGCGGGGCGAAGCCUCCGCCGCACCAAAGUCACGCCUUACCCUUACGCCGCGCCAUAUCAUAUUAGGUUUUUUUAAUUGAAUUUUUAUUUAAUGUUUGGAUAGAAACAUGCGGAAAUAUUCUUUUUAUCUCUUUCUCGAUUUCUGCAUAUUACAUCUUCAGGAAACUAAGGGCAUACAUUUUUUUUAAUGUUAUUAAUUAAUCUUAAUAAUAGGCCUACCUUUAUAACAGAAUAUUAUUAUUAUUCUAUAACUAUUCUAUAGCUCUGCCUUUAUAAAACUAUACCAAUACUACUAUACCAACUAGUAUACCCUUAACAUUCCCUUCGGGUACCUUACCCUACGCUGCCUACAGUUUAACAACCAACGCGAUUAGUCGGCGCUAGAUGGCGUCGGCAAUCACGUGUGUUUUUGGCGCCCAAAAGAGUUAGGGAAGUAAGCAGAAUUUUGUAAGGGAUCCAGUUGAAAAUCUUGAAAGAAAAUCAGUUUCUAACAUGAAGAGUGAAGAAGAGGAGUCGGUAAUGAGAACCUUCAUAGGACAAACUCGUGAUUUAAGUGAAUGUUCCAAAUGCACCAGUUUGCUACUUGACCCAGUGGAAGCAAAAUGUGGACAUUACUUUUGUCGAGGCUGCAUUACUGAGCUACCAAGAAACUCAACUGGCGAACCAACCCUUUUGUGUGGCGUGUGUCAAACUAUAGUCUGCAAAGAUGACUUGAAAACCCAAGAUGAGCAAAAUUACCUCUUCCCUGCAGCACUUUUUACAAGAUUUUUGUAGAGAGGGAGGAUGGAAAAUUGAUACUUUGUUGAGUAGUUCUGCAAAUGGUCAACCAAUUUCAAGAUCACUACCCUUAAAUUUAGAAGGGAAGUCUGAGAAAACUGUAGUACAACAGCAGCUGAUAUUGAAGAAGGCAGUGGUUCUGUUAUUAUUUGCAGUUCAUCUUCCUCUGAACUGGCUCAUCAGAGUACACUUGAACCAGAACACAAAGUACAUCAAUGGCUGAUGACCAAUCCGAAUGUAGAUCCACCCCAGACAACACUCCGCGUUUUAUUUUGGGACUAAAGACGUCAGCACAAAACCGUUGAAAACAACCGGAGAAAGACGGCUUAUUCUCGAUUGCAUACUGGUCUUCCCCUUUCAUAAUACAACCUGUUUAAAACA